AAUUCUUAAAUACAAUAGACUCCAAAUCAGCAAAAGCAAAAUAUCUGUCUGGAAAAUUCACUCCAUCGCUCUUCUUGCCACAGUCAGCAGCGAUUCUGUGAUUUCUGUCACUCGCGCCAAAACCCUAAUCCUAUGGAAAUCUCAUCAAUUCCAGACAAAUGCUUCUUCCCUCCAAUUCGUUAUUCUUUAGUUCAUCCUCUCCCACCUUUCUCCAGAUUUUCGUUGUUUUUUUGCAAGAACCCCGGUCAUGCUUCUAGCUCUGUCAGGCCCCUUCGACGAUCAUGUUCUUGUUCGGCCUCUAACCCUGAUACUUUGCUUGCCGGGUCGCGGAAGGAGGAUGGUAAACAUCACCCCGAGGUCUUUCAUAGCAAGAAAGAAGAAGAGCUUGGUGAUUUGAAAUCCUGGAUGCACAAGAAUGGGCUUCCUCCUUGUAAGGUUGUUCUAAUGGAACGCCCUUCCUACAAUGACAACCAUAAGCCCAUACAUUAUGUUGCUGCUAGUGAAGAUCUUCAGGUGGGUGAUGUUGCAUUCUCGGUUCCAGAUUCGUUGGUAGUCACACUUGAGAGGGUGUUGGGCAACGAGACUAUUGCUGAAUUGUUGACUACAAACAAAUUGUCUGAAUUGGCAUGCCUGGCAUUGUAUUUGAUGUAUGAGAAAAAACAAGGGAAGAAGUCUUUCUGGUAUCCAUAUAUUAGGGAGCUUGAUCGCCAGCGUGGUAGGGGGCAGCUGGCAGUGGAAUCACCCCUUCUGUGGUCAGAAUCUGAGCUGUCUUACCUUACAGGAAGUCCCACCAAGGCUGAAAUUCUUGAAAGGGCUGAAGGAAUUAGAAGAGAGUAUAAUGAACUUGACACUGUCUGGUUUAUGGCUGGUUCACUGUUUCAGCAAUACCCAUUUGACAUUCCAACUGAGGCGUUCUCAUUUGAGAUUUUCAAACAGGCCUUUGUUGCAGUUCAGUCAUGUGUUGUCCAUUUACAGAAAGUUAGUUUAGCUCGAAGAUUUGCAUUGGUUCCUCUUGGACCUCCCUUGCUGGCCUACAGAAGUAAUUGCAAGGCAAUGUUGUCUGCUGUUGAUGGUGCAGUUCAGCUGGUGGUUGAUCGUCCUUAUAAAGCUGGGGAGCCUAUUGUUGUUUGGUGUGGACCACAGCCUAACUCAAAAUUACUCAUAAACUAUGGUAUUGUUGAUGAAGAAAAUUCUCAUGACCGUCUAGUUGUUAAGGCAGCCUUGAAUACUGAAGAUCCACAAUAUCAAGAUAAAAGAAUGGUUGCUCAAAGAAAUGGAAAAUUAUCAGUUCAAGUUUUUCAAGUUUUUGCUGGGAAGGAAAGAGAAGCUAUCUCAGAUAUGCUUCCUUAUCUGCGUUUGGGCUAUGUUUCAGAUCCUUCUGAGAUGCAAUCUGUCAUUUCCUCUCAAGGUCCAGUUUGUCCUGUGAGCCCUUGUAUGGAACGGGCUGUGCUGGACCAGCUUGUUGGUUAUUUCGAGACUCGGCUAGCUGGCUACCCCACUACCUUGGUUGAGGAUGAGUCUUUGUUGGCAGAUGGUAAUUUAAAUGCAAAAAGACGAGUUGCUACGCAACUGGUUAAGCUGGAAAAGAAAAUACUUUGUGCAUGUUUGCAGGCAACUGUUGAUUUGAUUAGCCAACUACCUGAUGAUAGUAUAUCUCCAUGUCCUACUCCCUAUGCGCCUUCAUUGAAUUAAAAGAAAUCUAUAAAUCUCAUUUGUUGUUGUUUUGGACCUACCUUGAUGGACUGGAUACACCUUUACAAACGAAUCAGGUGUAUCUGAGUAGGUACCUAGGCUAGGAAUAAUGGUGCGAGGCUCCAGCUAGCUACAUAGAUGAUGUGUCUGCUUUAUAAUUCACUCAAACCAGGUGUACUUGCCUUGCUCAUCCUUCACUAUGGGUGUUGCUGAUGUCUAUUUGCAAGGGAGCAUACCAGUCCGGCAAAGGUCCAGUUGUCUUCAUCUGGGGUCUGCGCAGAUGUUCUAAGUUUGACUUUUUGCACGAUAACAUCGUAAUCAUGCUCUGUAAAUGGAACACAGGAUCAGAAAUCCUAAAAUUCAAUUGUCUAUAUGUUUUUCUGACAGUUUAAA